GCAGAUUUCUAACUAUCCACUCCGAGUCUGAAAGUUUCACAAGUCAUUACACAAAGAAGUUGUUGUGGUGAGAUUUGAACUUGGAUUCCUGGAACAUUAGCCUGAGCAUCUGGAUUAUGAACCCAGUACAACCAUCAAUAUAUCAACACCUGCCAGUUAGGUGUUUUGCCACCUCAGAAGCGCAAUAUGAAUUCAGGUUAUUCUUAUUGAGCUUCUAUUCAAUCCUUUUUGCCCUUUGCAAUGGAAUUGAUAUUUUGCAAGUAGUAAUUUGUAAAACUUUAGAGAAAAAGAAACUGAUGGACACAAUUCAGGAAAUCAUAUUUUAGUCAAUCAGCAAAGUUUCAUCAAUGGGUGACUCACCCAACCAAAGUGGCAACUUUCACAAUCUGAUCUCCAUGUGGUAUUGAAAGUUAGCAAUGUCAAAUAAAUGAUAAACGAGACUUUGUUGUUGCUCAGUAUUGCUACUUGAUGAUAUGUUAACAAUUCAAUAUAACUGUUUAAUGUAACAUUAGUGUUGAACAGACAUUUUGGAGAACUGUUAAAAAAUAACUUAUUAAGCGCAAUGAUUUUUGCUUUAACAAGGUGUAGAGCUGGAUGAACAAGCAGCAUCAGAGGAUCAGGAAAGCUGAUGUUUCGGGUCUAGACCCUUCUUCAGAACAUUGGUCCCUCCAAUAUAUCUUCAUGACAUAGUCAGUCACAAAUAUGUUCUUCAGUAAAAAUGCACCUGCCUGAUUUCAUCUCGAACUCUCCAAAUGUUUCCUUCAGUACCUGCAAAUGAUCCCUCAAAGUCAAUGACACACAGACACACGUGUCAUCUUUCAUGUGGUUAUUGAUAAUACCGAGCUGAACCUUCCCAUUCCUUUCUUCCAGCUCGCAACUAUUGUACAGCUUUAAAUGUCGCGUUUUUUAUGAACUAGGGUUUUCUACAAUGGAAAGACUAAAGGCAUUGCUUUCAGACCACACCAUAAAGGUCUGUAAGCUUGCCAUCCUUUUUUUGUAUCAUUGCACAGAACUCAGACAGGCACCAAACCUUCAAGACAGGUUAUGAUGUUUUGAUUCAUGACCCUUCAGUAUAAGAAGUCACCAUCCUACUCUGUUAUUCGUGCUUGCAGUUAAGCAGUCAAUCUGUUAGCCUGUCAAUCAACUGUAUAUGUAAUAUGAUAGUCAUCUGAGCAUUUAACAGACUGUACAUGUAAGUCUGACAUGUCAUAUUAAUUGCCAAUAAACUUCCAGAUACUUGACUCAA